CAAUCUAGAUCACGGCGGAGUCACCCACACUCCCUCCGCUCUCGCCCCCACAGCCGCACAGCUGGUGUCCUCAUCUCCCACGACCGCCGCCUCUCCCUCGCACGCCUCGUCGGCACCACUCCCUCACCCGCAUCACCGGCGCCUCUCCCUCUCGGGCCGUUGUUGCCUCUCCGUUGGCCCCGUCGUUGUCGCCCCUGAUGUGCCGCGGCGCCGUGACCCGGCCUCACAGGCACGACCAGGGUGACGACAACUCGAAGCUCUGUGGCACGACGUGCGCUGAGCAACGCGCCGCGGGGGCACUGCCGCCUCAGUCACCGGCGUGGCCGACCAUCCGUCCACGUCCCCAUCACUGCCGCCGGCCGGCCACACGACCUCACGCUCGUCCAACUCGAAGCACGCGCCGUCGUGGCCCGCCUCCGGCUGCUUCAGCAGGCCAAGAAACCGAAACGCCCCCCGCGCCUGGCGACCUCGGCAUCUCCAUCGACCGUCUCAGCAAGCGCUACCUCGCCCGUCUCCCGCAUUGCUGAUGCAAGCCAAGAAACAGGGAGUGCCGGCAGUAGUACUCUGAAUCCAUCAAUGCAACUGAAUCCAAACAUGUGAAUCAAGUUGUGGCAGCUUCGCAUGUUGAAUUAUGUUAGACAUGAAGUUCUAAACAAGACAUUAGAAGCUUUUGGUGAUCUCAAAGAUGAUGAGGAGCUUGGUCCUGCUGACUGGGUUACAGUUAAGAAAUAUAUCACAGGCUUGAGUAACUUGGAAGAUGAACAUGCACAUCCACAUGAUGACAAUCAUGAUCACAUACAUACCAUGAAUUUAAGGGAUGGCCGAGUGCGUAUUUUGAAUGGCAGGCAGGCUUUUUGUUUGCUUUUCUUUUUUGCCCUUAAAUAGUUGGCUUGAUACGUCCGUAAUUCUAUCUUGUCUCUGUAUUUUAUGGAGAUGUUUAGUUUCAUACUAAAUGCGGUCAGUUAACAAAGAUUAUUUUUCCUUUUUGUAAAUAUUGUCUUCAGGUGUGCAAGCCAGUUACUGGGCAAUGCUUGACGAGGGACGGAUAAAUGCAGCUACAGCCAAUAUUUUGAUGCGAUCAGUUGAUGAAGCUAUGUAUCUUGUUUCUAGCCGGCCAUUAUGCGAUUGGAACAGUUUGCAGUCCAAUGUCCAUUUCCCAAGUUACUACAGAAUGAAGGUCAACAAGACGGGUAGAGGGUAUACCUGGACUUCCUUGGGGAUGUAGAUCAACAAGAGGUGGUAGAGGUCAACAUGAGAAGAUCAAAUAAGAACUAUUUGAUAAUGCACGUUAUUUACAAAAGCCCCAUACCUACCAUAAUUGGGUAAUACUCGUCAAUGUUGUGACUCGGUGCGGGAACAAUUUCUAGGAUGGAUUCGUCGACAUUUAUACCCUCAUUAUGGCCUGUAACACGGUAGUUAUAUGCAAUGUUGAGAUUACACCAGAAUGAAGGUCAACAAGACGGGGUAGAGGUAAACCUGGACUUCCUUGGGGAUGUAGAUCAACAAGAGGGGGUAGAGGCUAACAUGAGAAGCUAGAGUAGAGGUCCAUUUCAAAGUAAACUUACAGGAGGACAAAGCUACCAACUGCUUACAGGAAAAGCUUGAACCUGGUCGAGCUGGGAACAUUGAUAAAGAAAAGGCGUAAUUUAGCUUUGCGUAAAAUUCAGAGAAGUUGCAUAUUUAUAAAUUGUAUGAUUCACAAGUCCAAAAACCUUCAAGUGUCUUAUUGAAUGUGCUGCCGGUGGAAGCAUAAAAAAUCAUCAUACGUACAGGAAGGUACUGCUCCA